GUGUGUGUGUGUGCUGGGGGUUAAGUUUGGAGAGGCUUCUUGUCCGUGUUGUCUGCGCGUAUGAAAAGCAUGAUGCAUAAAAUCCCAGGUUGUCCCAAAGCGUUCAGGAGGCUCCGGCCAGGCGGGUCCACAUGUCCCCACAAGACCUGCAGACUCCGAGCGGGGCGGAGAAACCUUCUGAGUCAGGCGGCAGCAGCGAGCUGAGCCGCAGACUGCAGGGAAAGUGCAGCUCAGCAGGUGAAGACGGGCCACAGGAAAACACGCGGACCGGCAGAGCCUGAACGCACCUCCGCGGUCUGACGUGACUCCGAGUCGCUCCCAGCGGGACCAGCUUUCACUCAGCUUGGACUCUCAGGGGAGGUUGCCUGAGCGCCGUAGGCCUGUUUUCAGCUCCAUCCAGCCUCACACUGACGUGGUUACCCACAGUGUCACCUUGGACCUGCCCAGAACAACCACAGCCUUCAAGGUCACCUCCACGUUAGCUGCUAACCAAACACUCCCAUUACUCUCCCUCAUCUGCCAGUCGGCAAGAUUUUCAAGACAUUUUCAGGCAUUCGCAGCAAUGAUGAUUUGUUAAAUUAAUAGCCAACAAUGGGAAAGUGACCGAACUUGUUCUUGUUUAUUGAAGGAUAUGGGGCGAACAUUAGCUAGCUGGUGUGAUGUGAUGGAUGUAGGUGGAAGGGUUUAAAUCUGCUAAAUCCCAGCAGUUGGUCCCUCUAUCAUGGACAAUGACCUUAAAUAAUGUCAACAGCUCAUUUCCACCAGAGCUGGGGUUAUGUCUUAUGUGUGUGUGUUCGGGAUUGGGGGGGAUCACCAGCAGCUUAUAUACUCUAAAGCAGGUUGAUGUGACUGACAUGAAGCCAUCUCUGCUCCACUCACCAGUUUACGUCAGACAAAGCAGCGGCUCGAUGUUUGAGCUGAGAAGAUCUGCUGAGUUUGUGAUUUUCUCUGUUAAUCUGACCUGAGGGUAAUGCUCUGACAUACUGUGCUAAACUUUAUUUCAUUUGCCCCUGUGCCUGUGCAGGUUCUUAAAACAAUUAGCGAGUUUGAUUAAUAUCACAGGAAAGAGUGCCACGUUAUUCAAUUGAUAUAAUCCGUAGGAUUUGUCUACAUUUUUAUUUUGUGACUCUCAGCACGAUUGUAUUUCCUGUUUGCAUCAUGUCUCAUGAAACACUAUUUUUAUAAGUGCUUACGAUGAACACAAAUUUUCCAAACCUCCCUGGCAACUGUGCGAUUAUGAUGUUUGUAAUUGAUCAUAACACUGGCCACAGUAAUGACAAUGAUAUCCAAAAGCUGACGAUCCUCCUCCAGUGUGAGGUUUGGUAGCUUUUCCCUGUCUGAUAUUGCAGUAAACUGAAUACCUUUAACUCUGAGAAAUGUGAUAUUUUUUGUCUGGGCCAAAUUUCACUGAAGCCCAUUUGUGCUGGUUUCACCCUGUAAAUGAUGCCUUUGCUGCCAAGCCUUGUAUCGAGUCACAUCUCUGCUGUGUUUGUUUACAUGUCGGAGCGUUAAAGUCAAUCAGCAGACUCAA